rnacentral:rRNA from 1 species
GAUGAACGCUAGCUACAGGCUUAGCACAUGCAAGUCGAGGGGCAGCAUGGUCUUAGCUUGCUAAGGCCGAUGGCGACCGGCGCACGGGUGAGUAACACGUAUCCAACCUGCCGUCUACUCUUGGACAGCCUUCUGAAAGGAAGAUUAAUACAAGAUGGCAUCAUGAGUUCACAUGUUCACAUGAUUAAAGGUAUUCCGGUAGACGAUGGGGAUGCGUUCCAUUAGAUAGUAGGCGGGGUAACGGCCCACCUAGUCUUCGAUGGAUAGGGGUUCUGAGAGGAAGGUCCCCCACAUUGGAACUGCGACACGGUCCAAACUCCUACGGGAGGCAGCAGUGAGGAAUAUUGGUCAAUGGGCGAGAGCCUGAACCAGCCAAGUAGCGUGAAGGAUGACUGCCCUAUGGGUUGUAAACUUCUUUUAUAAAGGAAUAAAGUCGGGUAUGUAUACCCGUUUGCAUGUACUUUAUGAAUAAGGAUCGGCUAACUCCGUG